rnacentral:rRNA from 1 species
UACGAAGGGGGCAAGCGUUGUUCGGAAUUACUGGGCGUAAAGGGCGCGUAGGCGGUGUGUCAAGUCAGGCGUGAAAGCCCCGGGCUCAACCUGGGAACCGCGCUUGAGACUGGCACGCUAGAGUUCGGGAGAGGAUGGUGGAAUUCCCAGUGUAGAGGUGAAAUUCGUAGAUAUUGGGAAGAACACCGAUGGCGAAAGGCAGCCAUCUGGACCGACACUGACGCUGAGGCGCGAAAGCGUGGGGAGCAAACAGG